AGCGGUAACAGAACACAAAGCCCGAUGUGGACAAGACAGUGUCAUUGGUUCGGAUCUUGUGGCAGAGUGGACACACUGUCUUCAGUUUUGAUGAGUACCACCAGUCCAGAAACUGCAGGAAGAACACACCCACAGAGAGACCAGUGGACAGAGAGAAGGCAACACCUCCCAAUGCUUUCUUCACUGCUGCAUGCACUUGUUCCUUGAUGCUGUAUCAGGGAGAUGAGAUCUAGGUUUACUGCAUUUCUGAGGUAGAAGAACUUAGGACAAGAGACAACAGGACCUUUCACCCAGGGAUCUGUGUUUCAGAAGGCUCAGGUUAGCAGUACCCAAAAUUCAUUGCUGUCUGAAUAAGGCAAGUUGCUCAUCUGAACAGAUAAUUGAUGCCAUCAAUCUCCCUUGGUACCAGCCUCAGAAAUGCCAUCGAGUGCUGAAUAGGUCAGAGACCAACUAUCCUUGCAUGUUUCCAGCCAGGCAGCUCUGCAAUUAACUUCAACAAGAAGUCUAGGAAACUAUUUCAUUUAUAUUUAAAGUGCAUUAUGACCUUCCCUCUUAAUCUCUAACACUGAUGGUUUCAUUUCACAGAACCAUCUGUGAAAAGAGAGAACCUGAAACAUUCCCACAAAGCACUGCAAAAGCUCUAUGUUGAAUGUGUUAGACCAGGAGUGUUUAUAAACUCCAGCACACAGGCCAAAUGUGGCCAUGGAGCCAUGGCAUCUGGCCCAUGGG